GCCAGGCAUGGUGGCACAUGCCUGUAAUCCCAGAAAUUGAGAGGCUGAGGCAGGAGGAUUUCGAGUUUAAAGCCAGCCUCAAUAGAUUAGUGAGGUACUUAGCAACUCAGUGAGACCCUGUCUCUA
rnacentral:sRNA from 1 species